UAAGCAUAUCAAUAAGCGGAGGAAAAGAAACCAACCGGGAUUGCCUCAGUAACGGCGAGUGAAGCGGCAAGAGCUCAAAUUUGAAAGCUGGCCCCUUCGGGGUCCGCGUUGUAAUUUGCAGAGGAUGCUUCGGGUGCGGCCCCUGUCUAAGUGCCCUGGAACGGGCCGUCAGAGAGGGUGAGAAUCCCGUCUUGGGCAGGGUGCCCGUGCCCGUGUGAAGCUCCUUCGACGAGUCGAGUUGUUUGGGAAUGCAGCUCUAAAUGGGUGGUAAAUUUCAUCUAAAGCUAAAUACCGGCCGGAGACCGAUAGCGCACAAGUAGAGUGAUCGAAAGAUGAAAAGCACUUUGAAAAGAGAGUUAAACAGCACGUGAAAUUGUUGAAAGGGAAGCGCUUGCGACCAGACUCGGCCCCGGGGUUCAGCCAGCACUCGUGCUGGUGUACUUCCCCGGGGGCGGGCCAGCGUCGGUUUGGGCGGCCGGUCAAAGGCCCCAGGAAUGUAUCGCCCUCCGGGGUUGUCUUAUAGCCUGGGGUGCAAUGCGGCCAGCCCGGACCGAGGAACGCGCUUCGGCACGGACGCUGGCGUAAUGGUCGCAAACGACCCGUCUUGAAACACGGACCAAGGAGUCUAACAUCUACGCGAGUGUUCGGGUGUCAAACCCGUACGCGCAGUGAAAGCGAACGGAGGUGGGAGCCCCCCCGGGGCGCACCAUCGACCGAUCCUGAUGUCUUCGGAUGGAUUUGAGUAAGAGCGUAGCUGUGGGGACCCGAAAGAUGAUGAACUAUGCCUGAAUAGGGCGAAGCCAGAGGAAACUCUGGUGGAGGCUCGCAGCGGUUCUGACGUGCAAAUCGAUCGUCAAAUUUGGGUAUAGGGGCGAAAGACUAAUCGAACCAUCUGGUAGCUGGUUCCUGCCGAAGUU
rnacentral:rRNA from 1 species